rnacentral:rRNA from 1 species
AAUCAACGCUGGCGGCAUGCCUAACACAUGCAAGUCGAACGGGAAAGUGGGAGCAAUCCCAUGAGUAUAGUGGCGCACGGGUGAGUAACACGUGACUAACCUACCCUCGAGUGGGGAAUAACCCCGGGAACCGGGGCUAACACCGCAUAAUACCGCAAGGUCAAAUGCGCAAGCAGCUUGAGGAGGGGGUCGCGGUUGAUUAGCUAGUUGGUAGGGUAAUGGCCUACCAAGGCAGNGAUCAAUAGCCGGCCUGAGAGGGCGCACGGCCACACUGGAACUGAAACACGGUCCAGACUCCUACGGGAGGGCAGCAGUGGGGAAUUUUGCGCAAUGGGGGAAACCCUGACGCAGCAACGCCGCGUGGAGGAU